rnacentral:rRNA from 1 species
UACGUAGGGCGCAAGCGUUGUCCGGAUUCAUUGGGCGUAAAGCGCGCGUAGGUGGCCUCGUAAGUCCGCUGUGAAAGUCAAAGGCUCAACCUUUGAAAGCCGGUGGAUACUGUGAGGCUAGAGUACGGAAGAGGCGAGUGGAAUUCCUGGUGUAGCGGUGGAAUGCGCAGAUAUCAGGAGGAACACCAAUAGCGAAGGCAGCUCGCUGGGACGUAACUGACACUGAGGCGCGAAAGCGUGGGGAGCGAACAGG